AGAUUUUAAGGUUCUUUUUACAAUAAGAUUAAAAGGGAAAGAGGUGAGAUUCCUCUACAGCCCCCGUUACUGUAAUGUGGACAAAACUCAAUGAUAUCACUGUGAUUAAAAAAUCAUGGGAAGAUGAGAAGUAGGAUGAAACUAAGUCAGGAGACCUGCCUAAAAUCAU
rnacentral:ncRNA from 1 species